CACGUAGGGGACGAGCGUUGUCCGGAUUCAUUGGGCGUAAAGCGCGCGUAGGCGGCUCGGAAAGUCGGUCGUGAAAUGCCGGGGCUCAACCCCGGGACUGCGUCCGAUACUCCCGAGCUGGAGGCAGGUAGGGGAGAUCGGAAUUCCUGGUGUAGCGGUGAAAUGCGCAGAUAUCAGGAGGAACACCGAUGGCGAAGGCAGGUCUCUGGGCCACUACUGACGCUGAGAAGCGAAAGCAUGGGGAGCGAACAGG
rnacentral:rRNA from 1 species